AUGAACGCUGGCGGCGUGCCUAAUACAUGCAAGUCGAACGAGGUGCUUUUGUAGCAAUACGGAAGUAUCCUAGUGGCGAACGGGUGAGUAACGCGUUGGUGACCUACCCCAAAGUGUGGGGUAACAGUUCGAAAGAACUGCUAAUACCGCAUGUGGUUAUUGGAUUUAGAAACCGAUAACUAAAGGAGCAAUUCGCUUUGGGAGGGACCUGCGUCCCAUCAGCUAGUUGGUGAGGUAAUGGCUCACCAAGGCUACGACGGGUAGGGGACCUGAGAGGGUGACCCCCCACAAUGGAACUGAAACACGGUCCAUACACCUACGGGUGGCAGCAGUAGGGAAUAUUGCACAAUGGGCGAAAGCCUGAUGCAGCAACGCCGCGUGUGCGAUGAAGGCCUUCGGGUCGUAAAGCACUUUUAAGAGGGAAGAUAAUGACGGUACCUCUUGAAUAAGCACCGGCUAACUCCGU
rnacentral:rRNA from 1 species